AGAGCCUCUGCAUUGCCGCCGGUCUCUGGGUCCCUGAGACCCUUUAACCUGUGAGGACAUCCAGGGUCACAGGUGAGGUUCUUGGGAGCCUGGCGUCUGGCCUGACCACAACCACAUAGC
rnacentral:precursor_RNA from 13 species